rnacentral:piRNA from 1 species
UGGUGACUUUAGCAAAGUAACUUAGGUC